rnacentral:sRNA from 1 species
AAAAACUCUUUUAAAAAAAACAAUCUGAGGGAAAGCGAGAUCAUAAA